rnacentral:rRNA from 1 species
GAUGAAUGCUGGCGGCGUGCCUAAUACAUGCAAGUCGAGCGGCAGCGCGGUCUUCGGACUGGCGGCGAGCGGCGGACGGCUGAGUAACGCGUGGGAACAUACCCCAAAGUGAGGGAUAACCGCCCGAAAGGGUGGCUAAUACCGCAUAUGAUCUUCGGAUUAAAGGAUUUAUCCGCUUUGGGAAUGGCCUGCGUACGAUUAGAUUGUUGGUGAGGUAAUGGCUCACCAAGUCGACGAUCGUUAACUGGUCUGAGAGGAUGAUCAGUCAGACUGGAACUGAGACACGGUCCAGACUCCUACGGGAGGCAGCAGUAAGGAAUCUUCCACAAUGGGCGAAAGCCUGAUGGAGCAACGCCGCGUGCAGGAUGAAGGCCUUCGGGUUGUAAACUGCUUUUAUAAGUGAAGAAUAUGACGGUAACUUAUGAAUAAGCACCGGCUAACUACGUGCCAGCCGCCGCGGUAA